rnacentral:rRNA from 1 species
UACGGAGGGGGCUAGCGUUGUCCGAAGUUACUGGGCGUAAAGCGCGCGUAGGCGGGUUGGUAAGUCCGCUGUGAAAGCCCGGAGCUUAACUCCGGAGGGUCGGUGGAUACUGCCAGUCUUGAAGGUGCUAGGGGGAGAUGGAAUUACCGGUGUAGCGGUGAAAUGCGUAGAUAUCGGUAGGAACACCAGUGGCGAAGGCGGUCUCCUGGGGCAUUCUUGACGCUGAGACGCGAAAGCGUGGGGAGCAAACAGG